rnacentral:rRNA from 1 species
AUAAGCGCCGGUAAGGUGAUAUGAACCGUUAUAACCGGCGAUACCCGAAUGGGGAAACCCAGUGUGAUUCGUCACACUAUCAUUAACUGAAUCCAUAGGUUAAUGAGGCGAACCGGGGGAACUGAAACAUCUAAGUACCCCGAGGAAAAGAAAUCAACCGAGAUUCCCCCAGUAGCGGCGAGCGAACGGGGAGGAGCCCAGAGCCUGAAUCAGCAUGUGUGUUAGUGGAAGCGUCUGGAAAGGCGCGCGAUACAGGGUGACAGCCCCGUACACAAAAGCGCAUGUGCUGUGAGCUCGAUGAGUAGGGCGGGACACGUGGUAUCCUGUCUGAAUAUGGGGGGACCAUCCUCCAAGGCUAAAUACUCCUGACUGACCGAUAGUGAACCAGUACCGUGAGGGAAAGGCGAAAAGAACCCCGGCGAGGGGAGUGAAAAAGAACCUGAAACCGUGUACGUACAAGCAGUGGGAGCACAGGUUUACCUGUGUGACUGCGUACCUUUUGUAUAAUGGGUCAGCGACUUAU